GCGUUAAGUUGCAGGGUAUAGACCCGAAACCCGGUGAUCUAGCCAUGGGCAGGUUGAAGGUUGGGUAACACUAACUGGAGGACCGAACCGACUAAUGUUGAAAAAUUAGCGGAUGACUUGUGGCUGGGGGUGAAAGGCCAAUCAAACCGGGAGAUAGCUGGUUCUCCCCGAAAGCUAUUUAGGUAGCGCCUCGUGAAUUCAUCUUCGGGGGUAGAGCACUGUUUCGGCUAGGGGGCCAUCCCGGCUUACCAACCCGAUGCAAACUACGAAUACCGAAGAAUGUUAUCACGGGAGACACACGGCGGGUGCUAACGUCCGUCGUGAAGAGGGAAACAACCCAGACCGCCAGCUAAGGUCCCAAAGUCAUGGUUAAGUGGGAAACGAUGUGGGAAGGCACAGACAGCCAGGAUGUUGGCUUAGAAGCAGCCAUCAUUUAAAGAAAGCGUAAUAGCUCACUGGUCGAGUCGGCCUGCGCGGAAGAUGUAACGGGGCUAAACCAUGCACCGAAGCUGCGGCAGCGACACUAUGUGUUGUUGGGUAGGGGAGCGUUCUGUAAGCCGUCGAAGGUGUACUGUGAGGUAUGCUGGAGGUAUCAGAAGUGCGAAUGCUGACAUAAGUAACGAUAAAGCGGGUGAAAAGCCCGCUCGCCGGAAGACCAAGGGUUCCUGUCCAACGUUAAUCGGGGCAGGGUGAGUCGACCCCUAAGGCGAGGCCGAAAGGCGUAGUCGAUGGGAAACAGGUUAAUAUUCCUGUACUCGGUGUUACUGCGAAGGGGGGACGGAGAAGGCUAUGUUAGCCGGGCGACGGUUGUCCCGGUUUAAGCAUGUAGGCGGAGGUUCCAGGUAAAUCCGGUUCCUUGUUAACGCUGAGGUGUGAUGACGAGGCACUACGGUGCUGAAGUAACAAAUGCCCUGCUUCCAGGAAAAGCCUCUAAGCAUCAGGUAACAUCAAAUCGUACCCCAAACCGACACAGGUGGUCAGGUAGAGAAUACCAAGGCGCUUGAGAGAACUCGGGUGAAGGAACUAGGCAAAAUGGUGCCGUAACUUCGGGAGAAGGCACGCUGGUGCGUAGGUGAAGCGACUUGCUCGCGGAGCUGAAACCAGUCGAAGAUACCAGCUGGCUGCAACUGUUUAUUAAAAACACAGCACUGUGCAAACACGAAAGUGGACGUAUACGGUGUGACGCCUGCCCGGUGCCGGAAGGUUAAUUGAUGGGGUUAUCCGUAAGGAGAAGCUCUUGAUCGAAGCCCCGGUAAACGGCGGCCGUAACUAUAACGGUCCUAAGGUAGCGAAAUUCCUUGUCGGGUAAGUUCCGACCUGCACGAAUGGCGUAAUGAUGGCCAGGCUGUCUCCACCCGAGACUCAGUGAAAUUGAAAUCGCUGUGAAGAUGCAGUGUACCCGCGGCAAGACGGAAAGACCCCGUGAACCUUUACUAUAGCUUGACACUGAACAUUGAGCCUUGAUGUGUAGGAUAGGUGGGAGGCUUUGAAGCGUGGACGCCAGUCUGCGUGGAGCCAACCUUGAAAUACCACCCUUUAAUGUUUGAUGUUCUAACCUGGCGCCAUAAUCUGGCGUGGGGACAGUGUCUGGUGGGUAGUUUGACUGGGGCGGUCUCCUCCUAAAGCGUAACGGAGGAGCACGAAGGUUAGCUAAUCCUGGUCGGACAUCAGGAGGUUAGUGCAAAGGCAUAAGCUAGCUUGACUGCGAGAGUGACGGCUCGAGCAGGUGCGAAAGCAGGUCUUAGUGAUCCGGUGGUUCUGAAUGGAAGGGCCAUCGCUCAACGGAUAAAAGGUACUCCGGGGAUAACAGGCUGAUACCGCCCAAGAGUUCAUAUCGACGGCGGUGUUUGGCACCUCGAUGUCGGCUCAUCACAUCCUGGGGCUGAAGUAGGUCCCAAGGGUAUGGCUGUUCGCCAUUUAAAGUGGUACGCGAGCUGGGUUUAGAACGUCGUGAGACAGUUCGGUCCCUAUCUGCCGUGGGCGCUGGAGAAUUGAGGGGGGUUGCUCCUAGUACGAGAGGACCGGAGUGAACGCAUCACUGGUGUUCGGGUUGUCAUGCCAAUGGCAUUGCCCGGUAGCUAAAUGCGGAAGAGAUAAGUGCUGAAAGCAUCUAAGCACGAAACUUGCCCCGAGAUGAGUUCU
rnacentral:rRNA from 1 species